AACUCCACAUACGCAUCCUUUGCUGAGGAUACGGUUAACGGAGCGAAAGCGACGUUCAACCUCAAAAGAAGCAGAGGGGGCUUAGUGGUGGGGUGACUGCGUACCUUUUGUAUAAUGGGUCAGCGACUUAUAUUCUGUAGCAAGGUUAACCGAAUAGGGGAGCCGGAGGGAAACCGAGUCUUAACCGGGCGUUAAGUUGCAGGGUAUAGACCCGAAACCCGGUGAUCUAGCCAUGGGCAGGUUGAAGGUUGGGUAACACUAACUGGAGGACCGAACCGACUAAUGUUGAAAAAUUAGCGGAUGACCUGUGGCUGGGGGUGAAAGGCCAAUCAAACCGGGAGAUAGCUGGUUCUCCCCGAAAGCUAUUUAGGUAGCGCCUCGUGAACUCAUCUCCGGGGGUAGAGCACUGUUUCGGCUAGGGGGCCAUCCCGGCUUACCAACCCGAUGCAAACUGCGAAUACCGGAGAAUGUUAUCACGGGAGACACACGGCGGGUGCUAACGUCCGUCGUGAAGAGGGAAACAACCCAGACCGCCAGCUAAGGUCCCAAAGUCAUGGUUAAGUGGGAAACGAUGUGGGAAGGCCCAGACAGCCAGGAUGUUGGCUUAGAAGCAGCCAUCAUUUAAAGAAAGCGUAAUAGCUCACUGGUCGAGUCGGCCUGCGCGGAAGAUGUAACGGGGCUAAACCAUGCACCGAAGCUGCGGCAGCGAACGUAUCACCCAAGACAACUUUACGGAGUUGACGAUUGACGGAGCGAAGCGACGUCAAAGCGUUCAUUAAAGUCGAGUUGGCUUAGGGAUACGUUCGUUGGGUAGGGGAGCGUUCUGUAAGCCUGUGAAGGUGGCCUGUGAGGGUUGCUGGAGGUAUCAGAAGUGCGAAUGCUGACAUAAGUAACGAUAAUGCGGGUGAAAAACCCGCACGCCGGAAGACCAAGGGUUCCUGUCCAACGUUAAUCGGGGCAGGGUGAGUCGACCCCUAAGGCGAGGCCGAAAGGCGUAGUCGAUGGGAAACAGGUUAAUAUUCCUGUACUUGGUGUUACUGCGAAGGGGGGACGGAGAAGGCUAUGUUAGCCGGGCGACGGUUGUCCCGGUUUAAGCAUGUAGGCGGAGGUUCCAGGUAAAUCCGGUACCUUAUUAACGCUGAGGUGUGAUGACGAGGCACUACGGUGCUGAAGUAACAAAUGCCCUGCUUCCAGGAAAAGCCUCUAAGCAUCAGGUAACAUCAAAUCGUACCCCAAACCGACACAGGUGGUCAGGUAGAGAAUACCAAGGCGCUUGAGAGAACUCGGGUGAAGGAACUAGGCAAAAUGGUGCCGUAACUUCGGGAGAAGGCACGCUGACACGUAGGUGAAGUGAUUUACUCA
rnacentral:rRNA from 1 species